UACGUAGGGGGCAAGCGUUGUCCGGAAUUAUUGGGCGUAAAGAGCGCGUAGGCGGUCCGGUAAGUCAGCUGUGAAAGUCAAGGGCUCAACCCUUGAAAGCCGGCCGAUACUGUCGGACUAGAGUCCGGAAGAGGCGAGUGGAAUUCCCGGUGUAGCGGUGAAAUGCGCAGAUAUCGGGAGGAACACCAAUGGCGAAGGCAGCUCGCUGGGACGGUACUGACGCUGAUGCGCGAAAGCCAGGGGAGCGAACGGG
rnacentral:rRNA from 1 species